AGGCCCUCCUCUGGCGAGGAAGCCGCGGCCAGGCACUCGCCGCACAGGCGGCCGGCCUCACGGAGCAGGCGCUGCGCUGUGUGCCUCCGGAGGGACACUUUCCACCUGGGCUGCAAUCCUCGCGUGUAUCCGCGCCACAACCCGGGAGGGCGUUACUACCACGAUCUCUGCCUUAGAAAUGCAGAGGGCACAGCCACCACCCGCCCCGCCCGGGAGUCGCCCAGCCCCGCCUCUCCUGGUGGGUUUCCCCCGUGGGCCAAGACGGGGCCGGGAGGCAUAAAGCAAAAGCACCGGGAAGGGCCUUCAGGCCCCGCAGCAGAGUCCGAAUCCCUCCUCGCAGGCCCAAAGACUUUUCCCGGCCUUUCUGAUCCCCGCCAACCCCACGCCCCGACCUCGGAGAAGGUGCGGUGGGCUCAGUAACAUCAGGGCAUCGGGAGAGCAGCUCCUGGUCCCCGGGACCUGCCGAGGAGGAGAGAGGGCCUCUGCAGGUGUGGUCAAGGCGCGGGUCUGGAGAGGGGAGGACGGCCCGGUGGUCCGGGUGGGCAGUAAACGGAGUGGUGGGAAAGAGGCAGAGGGAGGUCGGACAUGCACACAGAGGAGGCCGCGUGAGGACAGAGCAGAGAGAGGUCCGAAGACACUGGCCGCGAAGACUGGAGGGAGGAGGCUAUGUGCCAGGAGCUGGGAGAGGCCGGAAGGGUCCUCCCACAGCCUCGGGGGGAGCACGGCCCUGCCAGCGCCUACGCUCCAGGCUCGUGGCCCCAAAACCGUCAGACGAUAAACUCCUGCUGUUCCACCCAGGACACUGACGCAGAAGGUAACGCGGAAGGACAGAGAGGCCCGUCUCCCUCCGCGCGCACGACCCCGCGUGCAUAACACGUCCAUCCGCAGCACGGGGUUCGAGUGCUCCCCUUGGCAAACGGACAUUUUCAUCACACAGACGGGACUCUGUGCCCUCAACAGGCUGAAGGCUCCUCGUCACGGAGCAGCGACCAGACCGCUAAGGCCAGGACGGAUUCUCCCAGCGAGGAGCACGUGUGCAUUUUGCACAUCCUCUCAGGUAAGGAAGAAGGACCACAAGUCCGUAUUCACCUCUCGUGGACGAAGGAAGUCGAGUGGGCACAGAGCAGGAACAGCCGGAAGAAGAGUGCUGAGCAAAUGUGGUGCCGGUGUGUUUCACCCCGAGAACUUCGUAUGUUUCAGAAAGUCGUUCUCCUCCAGCUGGGGACAGGGGACAGCACCUGUGGUCUCCCGGGGAAGGACGCUACGGGCCUGAGUAGUGCACAUGCUUAGAUGUUAAUAGGAUGGAACCAGACUCCCCCGACGAGGCUCAGAUCGUGAACACACGGGGUCUCAGGGCAGGAGGAUCUGGUACGACCUCUAAUUUUGGAGGCGCGGACAGGUUUGUGAACUUGCCCGCGUCACACGGUCGGUAUCAGGAGGGAACCAAGAACCCAGGCCGCCAAAGCCCAAGCUCCUAUCACCACCCCCAUGACCAGGAACCCUGCCCCUGCACAUGCUUCCCUCCCGCCAGGAAGACAGCAAACUGAGGUCCUGACUCUGUCUCUUCAAACAGCUUCCAGCCACCUGUGCCCAUCUCACCAGCCUGCUGGCGCGUCACAGCAGCAGCCGCCGGUCAUCGCGGUCUGUGACAACAUGGCCUUCCCGCUGGAAGCCCUUUCUCCACACAAAUGCCGUUCGGGCCCUCAUGCUGGUUCACCGCUCAGAGGAAUCAGCCAGAAACUUUGCUGGAGGAAACGAUACCACAUAACAAGUGUCGGACUCGUGUCCUGAAGCUCGCAUGGGACACCUUCGUCCCCACCCUCUCCCGACGAGGACCCAGUCCCUGAUCAGUACUGUCUCGGCAAUGGUGCUCACAGAAGCAAGUCUGCUGGUGUGGACACUGUCACCACGUCACACGACUCUGGACACAGCGUCAUGCUGAGCACAGCACGAAAUACCAUAGCCCAGAUCUGGGCACAAUGACACCUCAGACCUCACCGAGAGAAAGCCAUUGUCCAGGCCGGGGACACAGGCCCGUCCCACGGGCAGCCCCGCGGACAGGGGGUCACCAGCAGGCCAGCACUCACCUCUCUCCCCACCCAGCCCCGUGCCCCCACCCUUGGGCUCAGGCUCAGGGACGUUUCGCUUGCGUCGUUAUUUACGAGGCUUUCAGGAACGGACCACAUCCUGUGCUCUGGCCAGCCACGUGUCCCCAGACCCAGCUCCGGGCGUCCUGCACACCUACCGAUUGGUAGACCUCUGUCACCGAACAAUGAUGAUUCGUGACUGUGAAAAUCCUUUACUCCAAACCAAAUGAGACUCCUUCGCCUCCUCUUACAAAAUCCUUACUGUCACACGCAUGCCCCAAUUUGCAAAUUUGGGGCCUUCUCCUCAGACUCCUUCUCUCUUCCUGAAUUCCUUAUUGUAAAAAGUUGACCCCUUUUGAAAUAACGAGUGUGGGUGUCUGUCCAGAUUGUCCCCUUUGGGGAAAGCGCCCUCCCCCAGUCUGGAAUGAUCCCGCCCCAUUCAUUUUGCACAAGUGUAGCCCAUAACCUCCCGUGACCCACCCUAUGAACCCCCGCACCCACCCCUGGCCACAUGUGACCCAAAUCAGGCCAAGAAGAGCCUCCUUCAGACUCUGGCCAGAACUGAGGUGAAAUGUUGCCUCCCGUCCCUGAGUGACGUUCGCCAGCCUGUGGGUGUCUUGCUGCCAUGAGGCGAAUCCCGAUUGAGAAGGAAGUUCAGCAGAGGUGAGCAGAGCCUGGGGGAGCUUGGAGGAGGCCAAGGGCAGUGCCGGGUGUGGCCCGAGCCUGUCACCCUCAGACUUCCUGGUUUUUCUGACACUGAGGUGAGAUGCGGACUGUCAACUGGCAUAGGGUUGUGACAAACUCAGGUGCUCAAUGGUGCAGAUAAUCCACCCCUGAGAUUAUCGGAAAGCGCCGGGUCCUCCAGGAUGCCAACACCUGGGAAAUCAGCCGCUUGCACCAACAACAUCCCUUAAUAUACCCCAAAUAUCAGCAGGGUGACAAUUUCUGGGAGACGAAACAGUGUGAUGCCCUCAGGUAGGGUUUUGAUACGCUUUACCUGGAGGGUUUCACAACAGCCCCUUCUUCGAGUUAAACUUGAAGUAGUCACACAAAGGUCAUUUCAGCGAGGACGGCUCUGCCUUUUUCUGUCACCCCGUCUAAUAGGUUCUGUCGUUGACAGUCUUGCGUGCUAGGAAUUUACAACCAGGACAGUGGAGACGAACGAGCCAUCUUGGAGAGGGUGAGGGGGGCGGAGCGCAGGGGGUUCCUCUCUGUCCCAGCCAAGUGGACUGGCAUCUUGCUUCUCCAGAUUCCUAUAACUUCCCACCUUUCAUAAGGUACUCAUAUCGUCAACCUUGCGUUUUUACUGUUUGUGUAGGACAGGUGUCCGACUGGCCCCCACAGUAGCUAACAGGGUGCCAGGCACGUAAUAAACACUGGUGAGGGAGGGACAUACGCAAAGAGCGUUGGUAUUUACGUAAAUAAAAAUGUAUUUGCAACAG